UGUCAAAUGAGUUCCAGUUUUGUGACGCGUGGGAUCCUCGACGAGAAGCUACGCUUUUUCCAGUUCCAUUCACUGAUCUCAGAUGGGGAUCCCCUCUCUGCUCUCCUCUCCUCUCAUCUCCUCUCAUCUCUCACUCUUCCUCUCUCAUUCUCUACUGGAAAAUCCAUAAUCUUUCAUCUUCCUCUGCUCUUCCUUUCUUUCAGCACCCCAUCUCUCUCUCCGUGGAGCCUCCAAACCAAGUAGUCAGAUCAACAAGCUUCAAACAUGGCGGGCGCGUACUGGAGGUACAGCGACGGUGGACAACCUCCGCCGUCGUCGAAGAAUUUAAUCAUCGGAAAGCGUCCUCCGUGUGAUUACGGAAGAUGUUCAACGAAUGGUGGAUACUGGUUUGAAGGCAUAUAGAUUUUCCAUCUCAUGGUCAAGACUUAUCCCAAAUGGAACAGGACCUGUCAAUCCAAGGAUGUAAAAUAUUACAGCAAUCUUAUUAGUGAACUGAUCAGCCAUGGUAACAGUCUAUCUAAAUUAUGUUUCUACAGUUUCCUGCAUUAAUAAUUUUAGUAGCUGUGUCACUUAUUAUUAAUAAUUUAGUAGCUAUAGUGAUCUACAAUUCUUUAUGUUCAUAAUUAAUUAAGUUGUUUGUUUCAACCAAGAGUCGAAUCACGUGUUAUUUAACACUACAGUGAUCUCUCGCAGGCAAUUGGUGAUGAGUGUGGAGGAUCGGUUAGUAGAAAAACUAUGUUAGUUUCUAACAUUUAUGGGUGAGUUUUAAAUGGGACAUGCAGAAAAUGGGCUUUGAGAUGAUCAUGAUGGAACACUUUUGUGGAUGCAGAAAAGACUUCACUGCAUCUGUAGAUGCGCGGCCAAAAAACUUUGAGGAUAGAGUUUUGCAUUGGACUACAAUGAAUGAGCCUAAUGUUUUUUUACUUGCAGUUUAAAAUAUUGGAUUUCUUCCGCCACAAUGAUAUUCUGCUCCAUUUGGUGUCAACUGUUCUUGAGGACAAAUAUGAAAUUUAUAUUGAGAAUAUCAGGAAAAAGAAGGUUAGAAAUCACAUUGCGAGGUGUCACUCCAAAAGCUUUUUGCUUCAAAAAUUUAAAACCGUUGGCAACGGCAAUACUUGCCACUUUCACAAAUCUCGAGGUUAAACAAUUCCAAGGUUUCAACUUUUUUUUAAUUUUUUUUCAUUCUUCAUACUCCAUUUUUAAUAUUACAACUGUCUCAACUAUGUUUUUCAUCAACCCAAAUAUACCUGAAUUGGAACUAUUCAAAACGAUGUAUGAUUUAUUUUGUCAUAAACUAUUAAAUCAAGUGCCUUUGUUAUUUUUAUAAACCCUCUAUAAAUCUGCUAUGCGGCGCCAUUUAUACGUUUUUAAUUAUAAUUGACUAAUUUGUGAUUGUGUUUGAUUAGGGAAAUGCAGAGAGACGGCGUUCCCAGUAAGUUUAGCAGAAAUACCAAAGAAAAUGAGGCAAUCCAAAUCAAUGGUGUACAAGGUGUUCGAAACUCAAUGAAAAAUGAGAAAGGAGCUGUAGUUGAUCAGAAAGAGCUGCAGUUUUUGAACAAAAAUUCUCCAUGAUGCUGAUUUGCUUGCGGCAGUGUUAAGGUAAAUUUUGUUACCUUCCAGAAUAAUUUUCAAUGAAUUAUGUCUUCUGAGUAGUAUUGAAGCCGGACAUUGUAUCUUUGAGAAAGUUUAUGUAUAGUUUCCGCAAAAGUUUAUUUUGGGAGUAGCUUAUAUCCGUAUAUGGAGUUUUGCUUUUUUCCACUGUGAAAUCAAACCCUUCUAUGCAGUCUCUUACAUUAUUGAUAUGCUCAUCUCCCAAAAUGUUCAUUUCUCAUCUGAAGGCAGAUUAGAGAAAUCAACAUUCUAAGUGGUCAAAAAUGUUGCCCAAGGUAUUUAUAGGUCUUGAGUCAAUCAGUGGUAUGCCUUCAGCUUUGGGACUGAGAGCUUUGGCAUGUGUUCGGCAUCUAGAUGAAAGACUCAGGAUCCAGAUGAUAGUUGGUUUAACCUCUCCCUUGGUAGGUAAACUUAAUUUGGAAGUAAAGCAACUCAAUGUUUUUCAUUUGUUUUUUUAGGCAAGAAUGCUACUAGAGUAAUGGCAGAUUUAUCAUGUGAGUGUCAUUGAAGUUUUAUCUUGAAUCUAAACAAGUUUUUGUCAAUUGUUAUUUUCAAAGGUUGUGACAGUUUGCUGGCCUAGCAGAAAUUUUUGUGAUCAUAAAACCGUCAUGUGAUAUUACUAUUGUGAAUGUUAUGCAACGAAAAAAGUUUGUAAAAGGUUGCUGAUCGGCCUUUGCUGCCACCAAAAUAAUGUAUGUAAAAAGUUGCUGAUCAACGAUAAUAGCUAGCUUGCAAUUUUUUUUUUAAUGUAUCCUAUUAAAUGGAUUUGCGAGCUGCAAUAGUACUUAAUUAUUUUAGCAAUUUACAUUAGCAGCUUUUAAUUUUUCACAUUGUAACCAAGAAGCAUGUAUAUCAUGAAAAAUAAAAGAAGUUCUGAAGUGACGAUCGAAGAAUUUAAAAGUGCAGU